rnacentral:rRNA from 1 species
GGCGAACGCUGGCGGCGUGCCUAACACAUGCAAGUGGAGCGACGAACCGGGCUUCGGCCCGGGGCCAAGCCGCGAACGGGUGAGUAACACGUGGGUAACCUGCCCUGAUGAUUGGGACAACCCGAGGAAACUCGGGCUAAUACCGAAUGUGCCCUCCGACCAUAAGGUCUGCGGGGAAAGGAAGCUUCGGCCUCCGCAUCGGGAUGGGCCCGCGGCGCAUUAGCUUGUUGGUGAGGUAACGGCUCACCAAGGCGACGAUGCGUAGCUGGUCUGAGAGGACGAUCAGCCACACUGGGACUGAGACACGGCCCAGACUCCUACGGGAGGCAGCAGUGGGGAAUCUUGCGCAAUGCGCGAAAGCGUGACGCAGCAACGCCGCGUGGGGAAGACGGCCU